AUAUCAUAGUGCUUUUGUUCUUAUUUUUUUCGUGUGCUUCUAUUUUUGAAAAGUUAGGUUUAAUUCCAGUUGUUUUGCCCCCAACAGCUUUGCUGUUUGGGGGACCUUUCUGAGUUUAAUAUUACGGAUGGAUAGCACGGCUAUGAACAAGAUGAUAGAACAAACGAUGACGAGAAAGGAAAUGGACACAAAGAAUGAAGGUGAGGAGAGAUGUAAAGACAAAGUUCAGCAAACUGAAAAUGACAAAAGAAAGAGAAAUCAUAAUGAGAAAGGACAUGGAACAAGCAAAGGAAUAGGAAGUGAACGACAAGAGAGUGUGAAGAACUGUGGUGAAGUGAGUGGAGAACAGAGAGUGAAAUACUGCAAGGAGCUAACUGUGGAGGUGGAGGUGGAAGGAACUGAGAAUGUUUCCAUGAUGGAAUUACUGAAGGGGGUGAAGGAGCAAUGUGGAGAAGUGAUGGGCUGCAGAGUGAGAAGCGAAAGGAUUUAUGAACUAACAAUGAAAGACAAUGAGGCAAAGAGCAAACUAAUGGAUGGGGUGAGAAUAAAAGGAGCGAUGGUGCAUGCCAGAGACAUUAUUAACAACGAGAUGGUGGUGUCUUUUAUAAAUCUACCGGUGUAUCUAGAAGAUGAAAAGAUAUUCACUAAACUGGAGGAGUGGGGAGUAAAACCGAUUUCAGCAAUCAAACGGCGGAUAUGGCCUGGAACAGAGACAGCUGAUGGAACAAGAUUUCUAAAGGUUCGCUUCACUGAGCAAGUGCGGUCACUUCCAUAUUCUACAAAGUUUGAGACUUUGAGGGGCACGGAAUAUUUUCGUGUUAUUCACGAUAGACAAGUGCGUGUCUGUAGACUAUGUAUUAAACCAGGGCACAUAUUCAGAGAGUGCCCUGAGUUUAAAUGCUUCAAAUGUGGCAAGGAGGGACACUACGCGAGAGAGUGUGAUGAUCGAAGGGGAGAAGAAAGAGUGGAGGAAAGUGGACAAGAAGAUGAUGGUGAAAGAACAGAAAACAAGCGGACAGAGGAGCAGGACGAGGAGGUCGGCGAUGAUGUGGAGAGAGAGAUGAAGGGCGAAGGCGAGGCUGGCGAAGGUGGAGAUAAAAUGGAAUGGAGAUAUAGGUCUGAAAGUACGAGCGAGGAUGGCGAUGAUGAGGAGGAGAUGGAGCAGAAGGGAGAAAGCGAGGAGGGAGAAGAAGGUUGCGAGAAGGAGAGAGAUGGAGUGGUGGAAAAGAAAGAAACAGUACAAGAGCCAAGAUCAAGAAAUGGAGCAGAAGGGAGAAAGCGAGGAGGGAGAAGAAGGUUGCGAGAAGGAGAGAGAUGGAGUGGUGGAAAAGAAAGAAACAGUACAAGAGCCAAGAUCAAGAAGUGGAGGAGUAAGGAGGGAGGAGGAGAGAGGAGUGGGCUUGAGAAGCGUGAAGAUGACAACUAAGAGACUGAGUGCUAAGAGAAAGGCGAAGAAGGACAGAGAACGAGCUGAACAGAUUAAAGAACAACGAUCGGGCAGCAGAAGGGAUAGUGUGUGACAGGUGUUCAUGGGGCUGAUGGCGGGAUGGCCCACUUUGAUACAGAAUACCAUCGCCUGGAGGCGUCCUACAGCGAUUCCCCUCCUGGAGAAGAGAACCUGCUGGUGCAUGUACCAGAGGGAUCCAAAUGUAAAAUACAGACCCCCACACAUCUAAAUAAAGCAACUAUACAAGACAGUUUAUGUGCCAAAUUCUAUAAGAGCCAUGUACCUUGCCUUAUUAUGUGCAAUGGAUACACUGA